CGGGUUAACAUUCCCGAGCCAGCGCGUGGAUGGUGGGCGGCGACGCGUACGAACCCGGAGACGCCGGCGCGGGCCCCGGGAAGAGUUCUCUUUUCUUCUUAACGGUCUGUCACCCUGAAAUCGGUUUGUCCGGAGCUAGGGUUUAAUGGCCGGCAGAGCACUACACCUCUGUAGUGUCCGGUGCGCUCUCGACGACCCUUGAAAAUCCGCUGGAAGGAAUAAGAUUCGUGCCAGGUCGUACUCAUAACCGCAGCAGGUCUCCAAGGUGAAAAGCCUCUAGUUGAUAGAACAAUGUAGAUAAGGGAAGU
rnacentral:rRNA from 13 species